rnacentral:rRNA from 1 species
GGGUGAGUAAUGUAUCGCUAACGUGCCCUGGAAUCUGGGAUAGCCAGCCGAAAGGCUGGGUAAUACCAGAUGAAGUAUCCUGACCGCAUGGUCGGGAUCCCAAAGGAGUAAUCCGGUCUGGGAGCGGGCGAUAUCGUAUCAGCUAGUUGGUGAGGUAACGGCUCACCAAGGCGACGACGCGUAGCCGGACUGAGAGGUUGGCCGGCCACAUCGGGACUGAGACACUGCCCAGACUCCUACGGGGGGCUGCAGUAACGAAUCUUCCGCAAUGCACGAAAGUGUGACGGAGCGACGCCGCGUGGAGGACGAAGUCCUUCGGGAUGUAAACUCCUGUCAGGGGUUAGAAAGUUCUGAUCAACCCCAGAGGAAGGCACGGCUAACUCUGUGCCAGCAGCCGCGGUAAGACAGAGGUGCCAAGCGUUAGGCGGAAUCACUGGGCUUAAAGCGUGUGUAGGUGGACUGGUAAGUACCUUGUGAAAUCCCACGGCUUAACCGUGGAACUGCUUGGUAUACUGCUGGUCUUGAGCAACCUAGGGGCGAGCGGAACAAA